rnacentral:rRNA from 1 species
GACGAACGCUGGCGGCGUGCUUAACACAUGCAAGUCGAACGGGUCUGCCCUGUUUUUUGCGGGGUGGGUCAGUGGCGAACGGGUGAGUAACACGUGAGUAACCUGCCCCUCACUUCUGGAUAACCGCUUGAAAGGGUGGCUAAUACGGGGUGUUCUGGCUGUGCCGCAUGGUGUGGCUGGGAAAGAUUCACUUUUGUGGUGUUUUGGUGGGGGAUGGGCUCGCGGCCUAUCAGCUUGUUGGUGGGGUGAUGGCCUGCCAAGGCUUUGACGGGUAGCCGGCCUGAGAGGGUGGGCGGUCACACGGGGACUGAGAUACGGCCCAGACUCCUGCGGGAGGCAGCAGUGGGGGGUAUUGCACAAUGGGCGGAAGCCUGAUGCAGCGACGUCGCGUGAGGGAUGGAGGCCUGCGGGUUGUGAACCUCUUUCGCCGGUGAAGAAGGUCCUGCUCUUUGUGGUGGGGUUGACGGUAGCCGGGUUAUGAAGCGCCGGCUAACUACGUG